UCUUUGCACGUGCGACCAGCACACCUUUACUCCUUCAAGAUCAAGCCCACCAACGGCAAGUCCUCGGACGGUCAGUAAUCACCACCGGCAUUCACCCAAACGCGAUGCUUCUCCUAUCCCCGAGAUAUCGGCUCCGUAUUCGAACAAACAAACUCGCUAUUCGCAAGUGUAUCCAUAAAUGUCUUCUCAUCGGACGGCUCAUUUUCCAUAAAAAAAAAUCAGAAGCGCUUCUCAAGUCGUUGA
rnacentral:misc_RNA from 1 species